rnacentral:rRNA from 1 species
GACGAACCGUGCGAACGUUGUUCGGAAUCACUGGGCUUAAAGGGCGCGUAGGCGGGUGUGCAAGUCUGUGGUGAAAGCCUCCAGCUUAACUGGAGAAGUGCCAUGGAUACUGCACAUCUUGAGGAGGGUAGGGGCAUCUGGAACGGUCGGUGGAGCGGUGAAAUGCGUAGAUAUCGUUUGGAACGCCAACGGUGAAAACAGCUCGCUGGGGGUGUGCUGACGCUGAGACACGAAAGCCAGGGGAGCGAACGGG